AUAAGAAGAUGGUUUUCAUCAAAAUCGUUGUUGUAGACUGGACAAGUUUAAAGCCAAAUGGAGGUGGAGCCCCUGAGCCAUAGUCACUGAAGAAGCUAAGCUUUAAGUCUAUGAAGCGCUUUCUUGAUCUCUUCUCUCCCAUUCACUUACACCUCACUCCUCCUGAUGCCGAAAGGAUCAACAAGCAGAGACAACAACUUUUAGAUUUGAAAAUAAUAUGAAAGAUGUAUGUAGGUGUGGGAUCAAUGUUAGAGGCACCUGAAUCUCCUGUAGAAUGGCCUACGCAAUUCAAGCAACAACAAACAGAAAUAGUGGAAUUGUGGCGAGCCUACAAUGUAUCAUUGUUUCAUAGGACUUACUUCUUUCUUUUGUUUAGAGGUGAUCCAACUGACUCCAUUUACAUGGGGGUGGAGCUUAGAAGAUUAUCUUUCCUCAAAGAAACAUUUGCCUGUGGAAAUCAGUCCAUGAACGACACUCACACCUCACAUUAGCUUCAAGAUACAUUGAAAUUGUGAAGGAAAAAGGAUUGGAGAUAUGUCAACCAGCGCUUGACCCAAAUUUGAUAGAGAUACAUCAUAGAAUUAUAGUUAGAGCAAGGACUAAAAAAGUUCUUGGGUGACUUAUCAUUAGAUGCUAUUGAUAUAUACUUGUUAAUUAAUUUCAUCUUAAAUCUGGUUUUGUUCUUACUUUUCUACACCACCGUAUGCUUCAAUAUUGACCCAUCAACUCUCACAGGAAAGCACACCUCUCAUUGUGAGGAUAGGAAAUAAUCCUGGCUGCCCCUGUGGUGGUACUCAUGUUAUUAAAAUUUAUCUUCUUACUCUCCAAGCCUUAAAUGGAUAACAGUGAAGAUGCAGUUAACAUGGCUAAGGUGUUGGCAUUGAAGGAAGGACUCAUGGUAGGGAUAUCAACUGGAGCUAACAUAGUUGGAGCACUCAGAUUGGCUCAGCUGCCUGAGAACAAAGGCAAACUUAUUGUGGUAAAAUAAGCAAGUUUGGUGAAGUUUGAUUUUUGCAAUUCGUUGAGCCAUCCUCCUCUGGCUAAGCACAUGAUUCGCUGGACGCAGCAUGAUUGACUGAGCGCAUAGAAGAACCUGGAAGAAGAUGACCUGUACAGGUGCGCUGAGCAAGAGUCAAACUCGCUAAGCGUAUCGCUUGAACCUCCAGGCUAAGCGAAGAAGAGGCACACUAAGCCAAAUGUCACUUAAUUUGGCUAAGCGAACCAGAAUGUGGCUGAGCGAAUGACUAAAAAUCAGCAACACUAUUUAAAGCCUAAAAUCAGAAAUGGAAGGGAGUUCUCAAUUUUUGGCGUUUUCUCUGUUCUUGGAAGCAUUCAUCUGAGUGGCUGAGUGGUGGAGAGAACUUUUGGUGUGAAGAUCUUGAGGGACAACAGAGAUUGAAGAGGAAGUUAUCAUGCAGAGUAUUGAAUGAGAGUUUAAGUGAUUGUGAGGUUUCUAGAGGUGAAGGAGACAUCCUCACCACUUGUACUUCCCAA